UAGGGAAUCUUCCGCAAUGGACGCAAGUCUGACGGAGCAACGCCGCGUGAGUGAAGAAGGUUUUCGGAUCGUAAAACUCUGUUGUAAGAGAAGAACAAAUUGUAGAGUAACUGCUACAGUCUUGACGGUAUCUUACCAGAAAGCCACGGCUAACUACGUGCCAGCAGCCGCGGUAAUACGUAGGUGGCAAGCGUUGUCCGGAUUUAUUGGGCGUAAAGGGGGCGCAGGCUGCUUCUUAAGUCUGAUGUGAAAGCCCACGACUUAACCGUGGAAGUGCAUUGGAAACUGGGAAGCUUGAGUACAGAAGAGGAAAGUGGAACUCCAUGUGUAGCGGUGGAAUGCGUAGAUAUAUGGAAGAACACCAGUGGCGAAAGCGACUUUCUGGUCUGUCACUGACGCUGAGGCCCGAAAGCGUGGGUAGCAAACAGG
rnacentral:rRNA from 1 species